rnacentral:rRNA from 1 species
GACUCAGUGAAAUUGAAAUCGCCGUGAAGAUGCGGUGUAUCCGCGGCUAGACGGAAAGCCCCCGUGAACCUUUACUAUAGCUUCACAGUGAACUUUGAGCAUGUUUGUGUAGGAUAGCUGGGAGGCUUUGAAGUGGGAACGCCAGUUCUCAUGGAGCCAACCUUGAAAUACCAGCCUGACAUGUUUGAGGUUCUAACUUGGUCCCCUUAUCGGGGAUGAGGACACUGUGUGGUGGGUAGUUUGACUGGGGCGG